UACGGAGGGUGCAAGCGUUAUCCGGAUUCACUGGGUUUAAAGGGUGUGUAGGCGGGUAUUUAAGUCAGUGGUGAAAUCUCCAGGCUCAACCUGGAAACUGCCAUUGAUACUAUUUAUCUUGAAUUCUGUUGAGGUGGGCGGAAUAUAUCAUGUAGCGGUGAAAUGCUUAGAGAUGAUAUAGAACACCGAUUGCGAAGGCAGCUCGCUAAACAGAUAUUGACGCUGAGGCACGAAAGCGUGGGGAUCAAACAGG
rnacentral:rRNA from 1 species